rnacentral:rRNA from 1 species
AUGAGAGUUUGAUCCUGGCUCAGGAUGAACGCUGGCGGCGUGCCUAAUACAUGCAAGUCGAACGCACAGCGAAAGGUGCUUGCACCUUUCAAGUGAGUGGCGAACGGGUGAGUAACACGUGAAUAACCUGCCUUAUAGUAGGGGAUAACAUUUGGAAACAGAUGCUAAUACCGUAUAAAACAACUUUUUGCAUAAAAGGUUGUUAAAAGGCGCUUCGGCGUCGCUAAAAGAUGGAUUCGCGCUGCAUUAGUUAGUUGGUGAGGUAAAGGCUCACCAAGACGAUGAUGCAUAGCCGAGUUGAGAGACUGAUCGGCCACAUUGGGACUGAGACACGGCCCAAACUCCUACGGGAGGCUGCAGUAGGGAAUCUUCCACAAUGGGCGCAAGCCUGAUGGAGCAACGCCGCGUGUGUGAUGAAGGCUUUCGGGUCGUAAAGCACUGUUGUAUGGGAAGAAUGGCUUAGGUAGGCAAUGACCUAAGAUUGACGGUACCAUACCAGAAAGGGACGGCUAAAUACGUGCCAGCAGCCGCGGUAAUACGUAUGUCCCGAGCGUUAUCCGGAUUUAUUGGGCGUAAAGCGAGCGCAGACGGUUGGUUAAGUCUGAAGUGAAAGCCCACAGCUCAACUGUGGAAUUGCUUUGGAAACUGGCUAACUUGAGUGCAGUAGAGGUAAGUGGAACUCCAUGUGUAGCGGUGGAAUGCGUAGAUAUAUGGAAGAACACCAGUGGCGAAGGCGGCUUACUGGACUGUAACUGACGUUGAGGCUCGAAAGUGUGGGUAGCAAACAGGAUUAGAUACCCUGGUAGUCCACACCGUAAACGAUGAAUACUAGGUGUUAGGAGGUUUCCGCCUCUUAGUGCCGCAGCAAACGCAUUAAGUAUUCCGCCUGGGGAGUACGACCGCAAGGUUGAAACUCAAAGGAAUUGACGGGGACCCGCACAAGCGGUGGAGCAUGUGGUUUAAUUCGAAGCAACGCGAAGAACCUUACCAGGUCUUGACAUCCUUUGAAGAUGUUAGAGAUAACAUUGUGCUCUUCGGAGCCAAAGUGACAGGUGGUGCAUGGUCGUCGUCAGCUCGUGUCGUGAGAUGUUGGGUUAAGUCCCGCAACGAGCGCAACCCUUAUUGUUAGUUGCCAGCAUUUAGUUGGGCACUCUAGCGAGACUGCCGGUGACAAACCGGAGGAAGGCGGGGACGACGUCAGAUCAUCAUGCCCCUUAUGACCUGGGCUACACACGUGCUACAAUGGCGUAUACAACGAGUCGCAAACCCGCGAGGGCAAGCUAAUCUCUUAAAGUACGUCUCAGUUCGGAUUGUAGUCUGCAACUCGACUACAUGAAGUCGGAAUCGCUAGUAAUCGCGGAUCAGCAUGCCGCGGUGAAUACGUUCCCGGGUCUUGUACACACCGCCCGUCACACCAUGGGAGUUUGUAAUGCCCAAAGCCGGUGGCCUAACCUUUUGGAGGGAGCCGUCUAAGGCAGGACAGAUGACUGGGGUGAAGUCGUAACAAGGUAGCCGUAGGAGAACCUGCGGCUGGAUCACCUCCUU